rnacentral:misc_RNA from 1 species
GUCAGGAUCAGACUCAAUUCCAUCAUGGCACUGUGGAUUUACUAGAAAAGCACGAACACCUAGGUAUGGUAAUAAACAUGCAAAAAGAGUUAAAUCCACGGAGGAGGAAGAGGAGGAGGAGGAAAUGAAAAACCCUAUUCAACUCGUUGUCCCAGAGAUAUUAAGUGAUGAAAAUUCACACGAUGAAAAUGAAGAAGAGCAACUCUUGUAUCGCGUACCUAUUUUUGAUCCCUUUAUGGCGGAUGGCUCUAAUUAUGGUAACGAAUAUUCUUCUAAUAAAGUUGAUUUUAAUCAAGAUAUGAAUACGUUUCAAGGUCUGCUAGCUCCAU